rnacentral:lncRNA from 10 species
CAGCUUACCCUCCACUAAUCUCCUUUUCUUCUAAAGGGUUUCUACAUAAAUGAUGUUGGAUCCUUCUCAGUGCAAUGCAUUAGGAGGCAUGUGAUGUCAGCGUGUCCCAUUACUGCUGAUCACUCAGGUAAAGCCCGUUGCUUCCACAAGAUGUCUGGUGCCAUCUGGAGGAAUUGCGAUCCCUGCUGGAAUCCCUACCUGAGUCCAGACAGACUGUCCUAAGAGCUCCCUACUUAGGGACUUAAAUCCAAAUCUUGGACUCUGCGACCUCCGUUCUCACCACCGUUCUGUGCUAUUCCCUGAGAGGCAGCGCAGGUCCUUGCGUCGCAGAUGGGGCUGCCUGUCUCCAAGGCCUUCCCUGCUCCUAUGACAGUGGAGGUGUGAAGGGGAUUGGAAGUGUCCUCGAGUUCUUUCUGAAGAAACACAUCAGGCAAAUAACAGAUUUAUAAAGGUUUGUAAAUCAAAUCAAGGACCUGAGUCAGACUCCGGACUUACUGAAGUUCAACCUUCCUGAAGACGAAAACAGGCUGAGCAGCAUGGAUGGCAAGGCCGUCUCUGCCCCAAGGCACCAGCUGGCGGACAGGAUCUCGGUUCCAUCUACCAGCCACUGCAAAGCAGGGACAUGUGUGUCAACCGGGCCCUGGGACAGGUGGUCUGGGCCUCCCCUCUCUUCCCUGUGGUGAUGGGGACAGGGAACUUUGUAGGAGAAACCUACGAAAUGGAAACUGUGAAGGGAAAUGCUUUUUUUUUUUUUUUUUUUUUAAUGAGAUGGAGUUUCACUCUUGUUGACCAGCCUGGAGGGCAGUGGGGCGAUCUCGGCUCACUGUAACCUCCACCUCCUGGGUUCAAGUGAUUCUCUUGCCCCAGCCUCCUGAGUAUCUGGGAUUACAGGUGCCUGCCACCAUGCCUGGCUAAUUUUUGUAUUUUUAGUAGAGAUGGGGUUUUGCCAUGUUGGCCAGGCUGGUCUCGAACUCCUGGCCUUGGGUGAUCAGCCCACCUUGGCCUCCCAAAGCGCUGGGACUACAGGCAUGGGCCACCGUGUCCAGCUGGGAAAUGCUUUCCUUGACUCAGUGCUAGGAGUAGGAUGGCCCCAAGCACAAAGGGCUGCUUAGUCAAUCCUCUGACUGCCAGAAGGUACAAAGCUCUUAGAGCCUGACAUGGUUUGGAUGUGUGUCCCCUCCAAAUCUCAGGUUAACUGUGAUCCCCAGUGCUGGAGGUGGGGCCCAGUGGGAGGUGUUUGGGUCAUGGGGGUGGGUCCCUCCUGAAUGAUUUUGUGCCAUCCCCUUGGUGAUGAGUUGUCGCUCCGUUAGUUCACAUAAGACCGGGUUGUUUAAAAGUCUGGGAUCCCCCCACUCUCUCUCAUUCCCACUCUUGCCAUGUGAUGGGCCUGCUUCGGCUCUGCCUUCCGCCGUGGUUGUAAGCUUCCAGGGGCCUCGCUAGAAGCCAAGCAGAGGUUGGUGCCAUGCCUGUACAGCCUGCUGAACGGUGAGCCAAAUAAAACUCUUUUCUUUAUAAAUUACUCAGUCUCAAGUAUUCCUUUAUAAUAACACAAAAGCGGACUAUGAAUAAUACAGGGCCCCACGCUGGCCUCCAGAACAUUCAGCCCUUAGAAAUGCAUGGCUUUUUGUUCCAGGCGCGCCAGAACAGCACCCCACCAGAUUCGCUUCCCGUGGCUUUUGAGUCUUAAACAUAUCUACGGCGUCUAGGAGCCUCAUUAGAACAAACCAGACAUUACAUCAAAUGAAAACCCCAGUGGUUCUGAAUCACCAGAUGUUAGCAGGAGGCGAGAUGAAAAGCCACAGUCCUCUCGCAGCAGCUGCUGGAGGUGGCUGUGUCCUUGCUGAUGGACCUGGAGGUGGCUGUGUCCUUGCUGAUGGACCUGGAGGUGGCUGUAUCCUUGCUGAUAGACCCGAGAUACCUGGAGACCCAGGCUCACUCCCUGCUCACUGCCUCAGAUCAGGGCUGGAGACAGAAACCCGGACACACAGGACCCUCUUGAGAAAGCCCAGGAGCCCUCAACAUCACAGGACACAGGCAAGUGGAAGGAGAAUGGCUUUUUCGUUUCUCACACUCUGGUGGCCUCUGGGGUGAGGGGGAGUGGGGAGUUAGUGUGGAAUGCGGACAGAGUUCCUGUUUUGCAAAAUGAAAAAAGUUCUGGAGAUGGAUGGUGGCCAUGAUGAAAAAGUUCUGGAGAUGGAUGGUGGCCAUGAUGAAAAAGUUCUGGAGAUGGAUGGUGGCCAUGGUCCUCCAGCAAUGAGGAUGUUCUUCAUGCCACUCAACUGCAGACUUAAAAACUGGUUCAAAUGGUAAUGUUACCUUAUCUUUAUUUUGUCAUAAUUUUAUUUUUUGAGACAUUCUCACUUUGUUGCCCAGGCUGCAGCACAGUGACACAAUCCUGGCUCACUACAACCUUCGUCUCUCGGGUUCAAGCGAU